UACGUAGGGUGCGAGCGUUGUCCGGAAUUAUUGGGCGUAAAGAGCUCGUAGGCGGUCUGUCGCGUCUGCUGUGAAAACCCGAGGCUCAACCUCGGGCCUGCAGUGGGUACGGGCAGACUAGAGUGCGGUAGGGGAGAGUGGAAUUCCUGGUGUAGCGGUGAAAUGCGCAGAUAUCAGGAAGAACACCCGUGGCUAAGGCGGCUCUCUAGUACGGUACUGACGCUGAGACGCGAAAGCGUGGGGAGCGAACAGG
rnacentral:rRNA from 1 species